AUUUCUUAAUACACACCCCUAUUAUUUUAUAUUUCACAUCACAUUUGAUAGAUAUGUUUAAUUACAAAAACAUCCAUCAAUUAUUAGGGGAAAAAAGAAAACUUCCUCUUCCUUAAAACCUUAACUCUUUUCCACUAUUAUUAUGCAUCAAGAGAAAAGAAAUAAAAACCUCUUCUCCAAAAUUCAUCACCUGAAUUUUGAUUACAGUCGUAAUCACAUGUACUAUUUACCGAUCUAUUUGGUUUUUUUUAUCAACUUUAGUUUUUAUCCUGCAGACUAAAGACUAGUUUUUAUGCUAUUGUACUUUUACUAGUUUCUUAACUUUGAAAAAAUUAUGUAUGUUCAAUAUUUUUUUUCUUCAAAUUCUAGCCGAUUGAUGUGAUAUUGGAGAUUUGGAUUUCGAAUAUAAUAUUACUCUUUUGAUUAUAAAUUGAAAAAUAUCAAGAAAAAAUUUCUAACCCGAUUAAAAAAAUCUAACAGAAAAUAAAAAAUAAUACGUAAAGAGAGUUAUAAAAUAGUAAAUAUAUAAUAAUUAUAUUAAAUAACAGAUUAUUAUUAGUUUUAGAUAUUGAGGGUAUUUUAGGCAAUUUGGGAUGUGUAUUUAGUAUAAUAUUGAAAUGAAAAACUAGAUGAGUGGUGUAUUAAGUAAGGGAUGUGUAUUAAGAGAUUAGGGGUGCGUAUUUAAAAUUACUCUAAAAGGGAUGGUGCAUGUUUUUUCAUUAUUAUAGUUUCCACGCGUUAAAAAUACACUCUCGCUGUCUCGCACAGUGUCUUGACUCUAUAUAUAUGUAUGUUUUUGCAAGAUCAUCAUCAUUUGUAUUCCAGAAUUUGUUGCAUACUGUAUUUUUAUCAAGUAUUUUGACAUGUGGGAUUUGGAAAAUGGUACAUACGGACGUACGUAAUUUUUUGUCAUUUUGACCUUUUCAAAAUCUUAAAGCAAUUAUUAAUUACAACUGUGGAAAUAUAGUUAAAUUAGAUUAAAGUUCUUUUCAUGUACGUUAUGUACACACAGUACUACGGUUUUACUUUGAUUAGCGCCUCUCAUGGGGCCGGUUUACUUGAUGAUUGGCCUUUGGGGAUAGGAGUUCCGUAGCUAUACUCCUGAACCAAAUAAUAAUCGUUAAUAAGAGUAAGAGAUCGAGGACUGGAGACUAGUUCAGCAAUUAGGCAAAGGGUCUUUGCCGGUGUUCUCGCAACUUGGUUUUGUUUUGUUUUUUGUUUUUUUUGAAGAACACAAACUUGGUUUUUUAAGAGCCAAAUAUAAACAAAGUUUUGAUUAGAAAUAUAGGAUACAAAUUUGGACGUAUUGGAGGAAUAUUGGAGGUAUGGCUCUCGUAUGCAACCUAGUAUAGCUGCUACGGAACAUGGGUGAGAUAUAUGUGAGUGUAUGACAGAUAUGGUUGGGAUGCAUGGUGUUGUUGGUCUCUUCUUCUGCAGCAGCAGUCUCUUAAAGCAGCAGCAGCAACAACAACAACAUGAGCAUGGUGAUUUCGGUUUUAGUGCUACACAGUUGUGUUGCCUUGUUUCUUUAGGGUUAGUCUUGUGUGUGAAAGAGAAGUAUGUGCGAUGAAGUGUUUCUCACUUAACCUCUUCUAUAUAUAGUUUAGUGUUGUAACCUUAUUAAUUACCAAGAAGAAUAUCAGAAAAGUUUUGUGUUCUAUAUAUAGUUUAGUGUUGUAACCUUAUUAAUUACCAAGAAGAAUAUCAGAAAAGUUUUGUGUUCAAUUUUACCACAGAACGAAACAAGUAAGUUAAAUGUCCAAUAGUAUUUCUCUUUGCAUUGUGACUAAGUUGUAACCUUAUUAAUUACCAAGAAGAAUAUCAGAAAAGUCAAAUCUUCUAGAGCUCUCUUAAUCAAAACAAAUAAAUGACUAAGGGGGGUGUAUUGUAUAUGGAAUUAGUGGAAGUUUUAAAGAAGUUUAUGGAAUUUGAAAGUCUAGGUGUAUUCAAUACUGACUUUUAAA
rnacentral:lncRNA from 1 species